UUCUUUCGAAACAUAAGUUAAAUACCACUUUGGUGCCUCAAAUACAGAUUUCUUCAAAGUAGCACAAUUUUAGGUAAAAAGCCAAGCCUCCCGCAGUGUUUGCUUCAGACAAGUUCCAAAUGCCCCGAGACACCAACAGGAUGCAGUACAUUUAUGGAAUCAGCCUGCGGCUUGGAGGAGGCACACUCCUUGGCAUCCUCUUUGAAAACCCACCUCCAGCAUUUCUUUUUCCGCAGAAACUGCUGUUUCAUGGAUAAGCAUGUUAACAGGCAUGAGUCCCGCAGGAGACUGAAGCCAGGCAAUUCAAAGGCUGAAAGUCUGGCUUCUCAGAGCCACACAGCUCAGGGUCAAUGGGAAGCCAUGCAGGUAUGGAAACAAGCUUGAGAUGUUAAUCAGGGCUGCUCAAGGAAUGCUGAUAGGGGCCACCCAGGAAAGAGUGAGCCAGAGCCUGCAGGGGGCUGGAAGGUGCUGUGGAAAUCUCAUUUCCUUCGCAGGCAGCAGGGAGACUGGAAAUGCAUGGACUGGGCAGAAGCUAGGGUGAAGGCCUGACCCAGUCAACAAAGAACUCCAGGCUUAGAGUUUUGAGGACAUGGAAGAUGAAGAAUGGAGCUCAGAGAGGCUUCGUACCUGCCCAUAGCUGCACAGUGGCUGUCACUCCUGCUCAGACACACCACUGACUCUAAAGCCACGCUACAAGUCUCCUGAUAGACAGAUGGAUAGAUGGAUUGGCAGAAAGCACAAGAUCCAGUGAAGAAAGCAAGACAGAAUAAGAAGAGAAGUACUUUGUAGAUUGGUAGCCUUGGACAUCUUGGGGGGGUACAGUGAAGAUUUUUAGGACAUGCCUUGGAAAGCAUUGUAUAAGGGAAAAGAAGCUAUGGAAACAGUGGGGUAAAGAAACCAUGGGCCAAGUUUGUCUACUUUAUAAUACUUCUGUUCAGAAAUAAUCUAUGUAAAGCACCUAUAAAAGUGCCUGGCAAAAUAAGCAUUACAUAAGGGCUUGCUUUUAUUAUUUCUAAUACUGAUGUCUCAGGGAUUGUGUGUUCCAGAGGAGGCAGCUGGUACUACUGUGUAGUCAACUGGCAGAAGGUUGUAGAAUAUCUGACAGUUUAAGAGCUGUUGAGAAUGGUCAGGACCCUUCAUUCCUGAAGCUGAGGCCGGUAACCAAUGGCAACCGAUCCCAUUAUGGCGGUACUAACCCUCCCCACAGCAGAUGUCGCACAGAUGUCUCAUCAGCACCUAUG